rnacentral:rRNA from 1 species
AACGAACGCUGGCGGCAUGCCUAACACAUGCAAGUCGAACGAGACCUUCGGGUCUAGUGGCGCACGGGUGCGUAACGCGUGGGAACCUGCCCUUAGGUUCGGAAUAACUCCCCGAAAGGGGUGCUAAUACCGGAUAAUGUCUUCGGACCAAAGAUUUAUCGCCUUUGGAUGGGCCCGCGUUGGAUUAGCUAGUUGGUAGGGUAAAAGCCUACCAAGGCGACGAUCCAUAGCUGGUCUGAGAGGAUGAUCAGCCACACUGGGACUGAGACACGGCCCAGACUCCUACGGGAGGCAGCAGUGGGGAAUAUUGGACAAUGGGCGAAAGCCUGAUCCAGCAAUGCCGCGUGAGUGAUGAAGGCCUUAGGGUUAUAAAGCUCUUUUACCCGGGAUGAUAAUGACAGUACCGGGAGAAUAAGCUCCGACUAACUCCGUG